rnacentral:rRNA from 1 species
GAACGUACGCUGGCGGCACGCCUAACACAUGCAAGUCGAACGAAGUAGCAAUACUUAGUGGCAGACGGGUGAGUAACAUGUAGGUAUCUGCCCUUUGGCCUGGAAUAACACGAGGAAACUUGUGCUAAUACCGGAUAAGUCUUUACGGAGAAAGCUUUAUGCACCAUUGGAUGAGCCUGCACUUGAUUAGUUUGUUGGUAGGGUAAUGGCCUACCAAGACUGUGAUCAAUAGCUGAUUUGAGAGGAUGAUCAGCCACAUUGGGACUGAGACACGGCCCAAACUCCUACGGGAGGCAGCAGUGGGGAAUCUUGCACAAUGGAGGAAACUCUGAUGCAGCGAUGCCGCGUGAGUGAAGAAGGCCUUUGGGUUGUAAAGCUCUUUCGUCGGGGAAGAAAAUGACUGUACCCGAAUAAGAAGGUCCGGCUAACUUCGUGCCAGCAGCCGCGGUAAUACGAAGGGACCUAGCGUAGUUCGGAAUUACUGGGCUUAAAGAGUUCGUAGGUGGUUGAAAAAGUUGGUGGUGAAAUCCCAGAGCUUAACUCUGGAACUGCCAUCAAAACUUUUCAGCUAGAGUUUGAUAGAGGAAAGCAGAAUUUCUAGUGUAGAGGUGAAAUUCGUAGAUAUUAGAAAGAAUACCAAUUGCGAAGGCAGCUUUCUGGAUCAUUACUGACACUGAGGAACGAAAGCAUGGGUAGCGAAGAGGAUUAGAUACCCUCGUAGUCCAUGCCGUAAACGAUGUGUGUUAGACGUUGGAAAUUUAUUUUCAGUGUCGCAGCGAAAGCGAUAAACACACCGCCUGGGGAGUACGACCGCAAGGUUAAAACUCAAAUGAAUUGACGGGGACCCGCACAAGUAGUGGAGCAUGUGGUUUAAUUCGAAGAUACGCGCAGAACCUUACCAACACUUGACAUGUUCGUCGCGACUCUAAGAGAUUAGAGUUUUCGGUUCGGCCGGACGAAACACAGGUGCUGCAUGGCUGUCGUCAGCUCGUGUCGUGAGAUGUUGGGUUAAGUCCCGCAACGAGCGCAACCCUCACUUUUAGUUGCCAUCAUUAAGUUGGGCACUCUGAAAGAACUGCCAGUGAUAAGCUGGAGGAAGGUGGGGAUGACGUCAAGUCCUCAUGGCCCUUACGUGUUGGGCUACACACGUGCUACAAUGGUAUCUACAACAGGAAGCAAAACUGCGAAGUUAAGCAAAUCCCUAAAAGAUACCUCAGUUCGGAUUGCACUCUGCAACUCGAGUGCAUGAAGCUGGAAUUACUAGUAAUCGUGGAUCAGCGUGCCACGGUGAAUGCGUUCCCGGGUCUUGUACACACCGCC